UACGGAGGGUGCAAGCGUUAUCCGGAUUUACUGGGUUUAAAGGGUGCGCAGGCGGAUAUGUAAGUCAGUGGUGAAAUCUCUAGGCUUAACCUGGAAAUUGCCGUUGAUACUAUAUAUCUUGAAUGCUGUGGAGGUAAGCGGAAUAUGUCAUGUAGCGGUGAAAUGCUUAGAUAUGACACAGAACUCCGAUUGCGAAGGCAGCUCACUAAACUGUAACUGACGCUGAGGCACGAAAGCGUGGGGAUCAAACAGG
rnacentral:rRNA from 1 species